UACGGAGGGGCGAGCGUUGUUCGGAAUCACUGGGUGUAAAGGGUGCGUAGGCGGUCCGAUAAGUCUGAUGUGAAAGCCCUGGGCUCAACUCAGGAACUGCAUUGGAUACUGCGGUGACUGGAGUCCGGUAGGGGAGCGUGGAAUUCCUGGUGUAGCGGUGAAAUGCGCAGAUAUCAGGAGGAACACCAGCGGCGAAGGCGGCGCUCUGGGCCGGUACUGACGCUGAGGAGCGAAAGCGUGGGUAGCAAACAGG
rnacentral:rRNA from 1 species